rnacentral:lncRNA from 1 species
AUCCAGGCAGGAAGUGACAUAACAAGGAGACUCAUAUUUAAGCAAAGGAAACAGAAAGUGUCCCCUUUUCCCCUUUGCAUCCUCCAGUGGCAGUAUGUGAGCCACUGGCAAGAGAGGGCACCAGCGAAAGGCAUCCUCUAUAAGAAGGAUCCGAGUGUCCUGCGUGUAUUUCUUGCCGGCCGAGAAAAUACAGCGCGCGCGGGACAUAUGGUGCCGAAACCCGGGAAGCUUAACAUCUCCGGCACCGCGGAGACCCCUUGGCUACAAGGCGGAUUCAGAACUGCAG